GACGAACGCUGGCGGCGUGCUUAACACAUGCAAGUCGAGCGGUGAAGCCCUUCGGGGUGGAUCAGCGGCGAACGGGUGAGUAACACGUGGGCAACCUGCCCUCAGCUCUGGGAUAACUCCGAGAAAUCGGGGCUAAUACCGGGUACGACCUCCGACGGCAUCUUCGGUGGUGGAAAGCUCCGGUGGCUGAGGAUGGGCCCGCGGCCUAUCAGCUUGUUGGUGGGGUAAUGGCCUACCAAGGCGACGACGGGUAGCCGGCCUGAGAGGGCGACCGGCCACACUGGGACUGAGACACGGCCCAGACUCCUACGGGAGGCAGCAGUGGGGAAUAUUGCGCAAUGGGCGAAAGCCUGACGCAGCGACGCCGCGUGAGGGAUGAAGGCCUUCGGGUUGUAAACCUCUUUCAGCAGGGACGAAGCGCAAGUGACUGUACCUGCAGAAGAAGCACCGGCUAACUACGUGCCAGCAGCCGCAGUAAUAC
rnacentral:rRNA from 1 species